rnacentral:rRNA from 1 species
GUGGGGAAUAUUGGACAAUGGGCGAAAGCCUGAUCCAGCCAUGCCGCGUGUGUGAAGAAGGUCUUCGGAUUGUAAAGCACUUUAAGUUGGGAGGAAGGGCAGUAAGUUAAUACCUUGCUGUUUUGACGUUACCGACAGAAUAAGCACCGGCUAACUUCGUGCCAGCAGCCGCGGUAAUACGAAGGGUGCAAGCGUUAAUCGGAAUUACUGGGCGUAAAGCGCGCGUAGGUGGUUUUGUAAGUUGGAGGUGAAAUCCCCGGGCUCAACCUGUGAACUGCCUACAAAACUACUGAGCUAGAGUACGGUAGAGGGUAGUGGAAUUUCCUGUGUAGCGGUGAAAUGCGUAGAUAUAGGAAGGAACACCAGUGGCGAAGGCGACUACCUGGACUGAUACUGACACUGAGGUGCGAAAGCGUGGGGAGCAAACAGGAUUAGAUACCCCAGUAGUCC